rnacentral:lncRNA from 1 species
UUUUUUAGGGCCACACCCCAGACAUGUGGAGGUUCCCAGGCUAGGGGCUGAAUUGCAGCUGUAGCUGCCGGCCUACACUGCAGCCAUAGCAAUACCAGAUCCAAGCUGCCAGAUCCAUUCUUGGCUCCUGGCUUUGCCCUCUGGGAGGCUCUUUCCGGUGAGUAGCCUCCACGACCACAUCAGGGCAUUGAAGAACAUGCCUCUCUCGGGCUUCAGGACUACUUGCUUCUAGUCAGUUCCAUGCACAGCUAACUCAGCCAAAGGUCUUGUCCUGACGGUUUGUCAGGUUCAAAACUGGCAGUGUUUUUACUGGCUUAUGCGCUCUGCCCAGACCCCUCUUUCAGCUUAGUGGUUGUUCUCUUCAGGCCAUCUGAGACAACAGGCUAGGCUGGAAAGGGAACACCCUUAAUCUGAUCCUGGCUGCUGGGCUGGCUCCCAUCAUCUGGCAGAGAAUUCUCAACGGGGAAAGCUUGAGAAAGGCUCCGGGCCACAGUCAACUCCUACUAAGGCUGUCUGUUCAGAGCCAACUUAGGUCACUCCCUCCAUUGUGGGUAUGGAAGCCAUUGGUGUUUACAACUCUUCAAGAUCCAAAUUUUCAGAUGCUUAGAUUGCAGGCAGCAGGCACAGGGGUCCCCUUAGCAAAACUCGAUUCCCUUCCAUCUCUGCUUGCAGACUGGCCCGGUCUCCCCUGAGUUCUCUCUUUUCUAGGAACAUGCUGAAGGCACCAAGAAGCAGUCAGGUCUCUCCAGUUCUCAAGUUCUCCUAGAAUUAUAGGCUCAGAGAGCAUGGGGUCUUCCUGUCAAGGUAUCAUCACAGAUCACCGUUUCACUAAAUCUUCUGCAAGAGCAUAACAAGAGUCACCAACUUUUUUUUCUUUUUUGGGCUGCACUUGUGUCACAUGGAAGUUUCCAGGCUGGGUGUCUAAUGGGAGCUAUGGCUGCCAGCCUACGCCACAGCUCCAUCAACGUGGGAUCCGAGCCGCAUCUUCCAGGCCGAGUAUGUGAGUAUGAUAAAUGGACAGUCUUUACUUCCAGGUGGUCUAAAUCAAAUCUGGAAAAGAUUCUGGUAGCUCUAACUGGGAGACCAAACCUAACAGUAGCUUAAACAAGAUGGAAGUUUAUUUUUCUCUCACGAGAGAAUCCAAGCUGGUCUGAUGAUUCUGCUCUGUGACAUCAUCAGGAUUCUGAGCUUCUUUUGCCUUGUCGCUUCCCCAUCCCAGGAAGGUGUCCCCAUCCAGAUGGUCCAACAUGGUUCACCCCUGAUUCUUCAUCCCAGUGAAUAAGAGGGAGUAUGCAAUUCAGAAGCUGGACACACCACUCCUGUUCAUGUCCUGCUGGUCACAUGGCCACACUUGGUGACAAGGGCGGCUGUGAAAUGCAGCUUUAUUCUGGGCUGCCGUGUGCCCAGUUGAAAACCCAGGGGUUCUAUCACGAUGAGAGAGGAAGGGAGGGAGUGAUGUAGGGGACCAUUAGUCAUCUCUGCCACAGCCUGAAUCCUCUUGAGAAACCUCUUGGAGGGGCAGGGGCCUCAUCAUCAGCCGUAGGCCCAGCCAAGUGCCCUGUACCGGGUCAGUGACUAUAUGCAUUCAACCUCGGUUUUCCCAGACCAUUGCCAAUCCCAACAUGGCAGACCUCUGUGGCAUGAUCCUGUUUAAAUGGCAUCUUCUGGAGUUCCCUGAUGGCGUAGCAGUUAAGGAUCCUUUGUUGUCACUGCUGUGGCUCAGAUGGCUGCUGUAGUGCAGGUUUGAUUCCCUGUCCUGGGAACUUACAUAUGCUACUGGUGUGGCCAGGGAUAUAUAUAUCUCUUUGGGGAUGUAACCCAGGCACCCCUAGCUCUCCAGCCUUGUGGAGUCACCUCUUGUGCCCAGUAUUGCCAAGGGCUUUCUUAGGUGGGCCGUUCGUUCCUCCUGACCCACCAUGAGGUCUGUGCUUCCCGUUGCGGUCCUCAGCCCUGUGCCUGGCGUCCCCUUUCCAAACUGCCUCUUGUUAAGCUGAUGCCAGACUCCUCCCUCCCUCCCUAUGUACCAAGAACCCAAGGCUCACGUGUGUGGCAGAUGUUUAGUUGCUUUCAGGACUCGUGGAUAGCGAUCUGAGCAUAGGGGACAAAAUGACUUCAUUGUCAUAUACUAGUUGUUUAGAAUGUGUGGGUCCUGCCCCACCCAGGGAACUUCCCCUUGGCCCUCUUCCUCUGUUGGUCUCUCCUCUGCCUGCCUCACGUGGAACUUUUCAAGUCUUCUCUCCUGAUGCCCCCGGACCUCACUAAGUUCUCACCUAUUCCCGGGCACGGCCCUCACAGCGUCACAAUUCCCCCUCCUGCUUCAGCUCAGCCUCACUCCUCCAGGGUGUGCUCACUCCUAAACCCCAAAGACCCAUCACUGUUCCCCUAAGUAAAAGGGCCAUCGGAGUUCCCAUUGUGGCUCAGUGGUUAAUGAAUCUGAUUAGGAACCAUGAGGUUGCAGGUUCGAUCCCUGAUCUUGCUCAGUGUGUUAAGGAUCUGGCGUUGCCUUGAGCUGCAGUAUAGGUCACAGAUGAGACUCGAAUCCCGCGUUGCUGUGGCUCUGGUAUAGGCCGGCGGCUACAGCUCUGAUUAGACCCCUAGCC